UACGAAGGGGGCUAGCGUUGCUCGGAAUUACUGGGCGUAAAGCGCACGUAGGCGGCUUUCUAAGUCGGGGGUGAAAUCCUGGAGCUCAACUCCAGAACUGCCUUCGAUACUGGAGAGCUUGAGUCCGGGAGAGGUGAGUGGAACUGCGAGUGUAGGGGUGAAAUUCGUAGAUAUUCGCAAGAACACCAGUGGCGAAGGCGGCUCACUGGCCCGGUACUGACGCUGAGGUGCGAAAGCGUGGGGAGCAAACAGG
rnacentral:rRNA from 1 species